GAUGAACGCUGGCGGCGUGCCUAAUACAUGCAAGUCGAACGAAACUUCUUUAUCACCGAGUGCUUGCACUCAUCGAUAAAGAGUUGAGUGGCGAACGGGUGAGUAACACGUGGGCAACCUGCCCAAAAGAGGGGGAUAACACUUGGAAACAGGUGCUAAUACCGCAUAACCAUAGUUACCGCAUGGUAACUAUGUAAAAGGUGGCUAUACUACCGCUUUUGGAUGGGCCCGCGGCGCAUUAGCUAGUUGGUAGGGUAAAGGCUUACCAAGGCAAUGAUGCGUAGCCGAAUUGAGAGGUUGAUCGGCCACAUUGGGACUGAGACACGGCCCAAACUCCUACGGGAGGCAGCAGUAGGGAAUCUUCCACAAUGGGCGAAAGCCUGAUGGAGCAACGCCGCGUGGGUGAAGAAGGUCUUCGGAUCGUAAAACCCUGUUGUUAGAGAAGAAAGUGCGUGAGAGUAACUGUUCACGUUUCGACGGUAUCUAACCGGAAAGCCACGGCUAACUACGUG
rnacentral:rRNA from 1 species